UAAAAAGCGAUGAUGAAAAAAAGUAAUAUUAUGAAGUGUUUCAGAGAGCUAGCAUAAGGUGGGAGCUAGUACAUGACAUAAUAUGAAUGGGCUUUCUAGCUACUGGUACUGAAAUUAUAGUAGGUACUAGCGUAUAGUUACGUUAUAACAAGUAGAGUGGACUAAGACAGUUACGUACAGAUAAUUUUGUUUUAGUCAAUAAAGGUGGCACCACGGCUUAUCCGUCCUUUUU
rnacentral:ncRNA from 1 species